UACGUAGGGUGCAAGCGUUGUCCGGAAUUAUUGGGCGUAAAGAGCUCGUAGGCGGUUCGUCGCGUCGGCUGUGAAAUCCCGGAGCUCAACUCCGGGUCUGCAGUCGAUACGGGCGGACUAGUCGGUCGAGGCAGGGAGAGUGAAUUCCGUGGUGUAGCGGUGAAAAUGCGCAGAUAUCAGGAGGAACACCGGUGGCGAAGGCGGGUCUCUGGGCCGAUACUGACACUGAGGAGCGAAAGCGUGGGGAGCGAACAGGG
rnacentral:rRNA from 1 species